rnacentral:rRNA from 1 species
UGCGUAACGCGUAUGCAAUCUACCUUUUGCAGAGGGAUAGCCCAGAGAAAUUUGGAUUAAUACCUCAUAGUAUAGCAGUUUCGCAUGAAACCACUAUUAAAGUCACAACGGCAAAAGAUGAGCAUGCGUCCCAUUAGCUAGUUGGUAAGGUAACGGCUUACCAAGGCUACGAUGGGUAGGGGUCCUGAGAGGGAGAUCCCCCACACUGGUACUGAGACACGGACCAGACUCCUACGGGAGGCAGCAGUGAGGAAUAUUGGACAAUGGGCGCAAGCCUGAUCCAGCCAUGCCGCGUGCAGGAUGACGGUCCUAUGGAUUGUAAACUGCUUUUGUACAGGAAGAAACACUCCCUCGUGAGGGAGCUUGACGGUACUGUAAGAAUAAGGAUCGGCUAACUCCGUGCCAGCAGCCGCGGUAAUACGGAGGAUCCAAGCGUUAUCCGGAAUCAUUGGGUUUAAAGGGUCCGUAGGCGGUUUAGUAAGUCAGUGGUGAAAGCCCAUCGCUCAACGGUGGAACGGCCAUUGAUACUGCUAG